rnacentral:rRNA from 1 species
UGGGUAACCUGCCCAUCAGAGGGGGAUAACAUUCGGAAACGGAUGCUAAAACCGCAUAGGUCUUCGAACCGCAUGGUUUGAAGAGGAAAAGAGGCGCAAGCUCCUGCUGAUGGAUGGACCCGCGGUGCAUUAGCUAGUUGGUGAGGUAACGGCUCACCAAGGCCGUGAUGCAUAGCCGACCUGAGAGGGUGAUCGGCCACAUUGGGACUGAGACACGGCCCAA